GAUCAUGGCUCAGGAUGAACGCUGGCGGCGUGCUUAACACAUGCAAGUCGAACGGAGAUAGCGGAGAGCUUGCUUCUGCUAUCUUAGUGGCGGACGGGUGAGUAACGCGUGGGUAACCUACCCUGUACAGGGGGAUAGCAGCUGGAAACGGCUGAUAAAACCGCAUAAAACGGCAGUACCGCAUGGUACAACCGUCAAAUAUUCAUAGGUACAGGAUGGGCCCGCGUCUGAUUAGCCAGUUGGUGGGGUAACGGCCUACCAAAGCGACGAUCAGUAGCCGGCCUGAGAGGGUGAACGGCCACAUUGGGACUGAGACACGGCCCAAACUCCUACGGGAGGCAGCAGUGGGGAAUAUUGGACAAUGGGGGAAACCCUGAUCCAGCGACGCCCGCGUGAGUGAAGAAGUAUCUCGGUAUGUAAAGCUCUAUCAGCAGGGAAGAUGAUGACGGUACCUGACUAAGAAGCACCGGCUAAAUACGUGCCAGCCGCCGC
rnacentral:rRNA from 1 species